GCCCCCAUCGUUUAGUGGCCUAGGACACCUCUCUUUCAAGGAGGCGACGGGGAUUCGAAUUCCCCUGGGGGUA
rnacentral:tRNA from 2 species